AACGAACGUUGGCGGCGUGGAUUAGGCAUGCAAGUCGAACGAGAUCUGUAGCAAUACAGUGAAAGUGGCGAAAGGGAGAGUAAUACGUAGGUACCUGCCCUCGGGUCUGGGAUAGCUGCGGGAAACUGCAAUUAAUACCGGAUGAUGUCUCUGGACCAAAGGUGUGAUUCCGCCAGGGGAUGGGCCUGCGUCCUAUCAGCUUGUUGGUGUGGUAACGGCGCACCAAGGCUAAGACGGGUACGGGGUGUGAGAGCAUGCCCCCGCUCACUGGGACUGAGAUACUGCCCAGACACCUACGGGUGGCUGCAGUCGAGAAUCUUCCGCAAUGGGCGCAAGCCUGACGGAGCGACGCCGCGUGUGGGAUGAAGGCCUUCGGGUUGUAAACCACUGUCAGUGGGGAGCAAAUGCAUCAGAGUUCUCCCUGGUGUUUGAGCGAUCCGCAGAGGAAGCACAGGCUAAUUCCGUGCCAGCCGCCGCAGUAA
rnacentral:rRNA from 1 species